AUUGAACGCUGGCGGCAGGCCUAACACAUGCAAGUCGAGCGGGGUUUUCGGACCUAGCGGCGGACGGGUGAGUAAUGCGUAGGAAGCUACCCGAUAGAGGGGGAUACCAGUUGGAAACGACUGUUAAUACCGCAUAAUGUCUACGGACCAAAGUGUGGGACCUUCGGGCCACAUGCUAUCGGAUGCGCCUACGUGGGAUUAGCUAGUUGGUGAGGUAAUGGCUCACCAAGGCGACGAUCCCUAGCUGGGUUGAGAGGAUGAUCAGCCACACUGGAACUGAGACACGGUCCAGACUCCUACGGGAGGCAGCAGUGGGGAAUAUUGGACAAUGGGCGCAAGCCUGAUACAGCCAUGCCGCGUGUGUGAAGAAGGCCUUCGGGUUGUAAAGCACUUUCAGUAGGGAGGAAGCGUUGUGUGUUAAUAGUACACAGCGUUGACGUUACCUACAGAAGAAGCACCGGCUAACUCUGUGCCAGCAGCCGCGGUAAUAC
rnacentral:rRNA from 1 species